CGGUGUGUGCGUGACGGCGGCAGCUAGAGAGGAAGCGACGCGGAUGACACGCACACACACUCUCUUUCUCACACACACAGGAGAGGACAGCGAAGAAGAAGAAAAAUACACUGAGAGAAGGAGGAGAAGAAGAAGAAGAAGAAGAGGAGGAGAGGGGAAAGCGCAGAGAGACAAAUCCGGGGAGAAAUGCCCGCUGGACGGAUGGAUUUUAUUUCCCCGAGCUGUACCAGCCUCUGUAAGACAACAUGGGCUGCAUAGGAUCCCGGACCAUCACAGUGGAUGCGGUGCCGGUACAGAAAGAUGGGGAUCAGGUGUGCCUCGCUCCAUGAAGGACAAAGUGACUAAGCCCACUGCCAUGGCCCACGGUCGCGUUGCCCACAUGAUCGAGUGGCAGAGCUGGGGCAAACCAACCGCGGGGCCGCUGGGGAGCGCGGUGCAGAACAGUCUGCAGAAGGAGGAGAGGAGGAUCGAGAACGAUGCUUACAGCGACCUGAGUGACGGAGAGAAGGAGGCUCGAUUCGCUGCAGGCAUAAUGCAGCAGUUUGCCAUCUCUGAGAUGACUCUGUUUGGCUGGAACUCGAUGGACGGGGAGAGUAUGGGAGCCGGCUCCAACCAGGGCAGCGUCGCUCACCUCAGCGAGGUCAACCAGGAGAGCAUCACCAGCAGAGACCAGGUGCUCCACCACUCCUCGGCGGACGUCUGGCCUCACACCUACGUGUCACAGGGCCUGUACUGCCUGUCGUCCUCUGACGCCUGGGACCCCAUCACCAGCCAGCCCUCGGGCAUGGCCUCGCCCGCUGCAGGCUCAUACAUCAUGUCUGCAGGUGGCGGCAGUGGAGCGGCGGGGACUCCUGGUGAGGGGUUUGAGGGGACGGUGGGCAAUUACCUUCAGCAGCAUCAUUACACCCUGCAGCAGCAGAACCAACUCCAACAGCUCCAACACAUUCACCAGUUCCAGCAGCAACAGUUCCUGCAGUACCAACAACAACAGUCUAUGGAGCAAAGGCUACAUAGUGCCUCCCAUUCCCUCCAAGCCACACCCAACAGCACCAUCCACAGCCUGGGCCCUCCCACCCACCCCCGGCUCGCUGACCUGUGGGGAGCUGCGCUGGUCGAGGCACACCACGUAGGCACUCCCCUGCUGAAUCCAAAUGGGGGAGAUCAUCGGCCAGCUGAAUGGACAGAUGGUUGACAUGAUCGGAGGAGUGGAGACGGUUGGAGAGGAGCCAGAGCCCGAGUCUGAAGACACCCCUGAGCAGCACGAAGAGGAGGAAGAGGAGGAGCUGACAAAGGUAGAAGAGGUAACAUUAAUCCUGGAGCCGGAGCCGUGCUCUUUGACCCCAUCACCCCUGAAGGAGGACCUCCCCUCCACCAGAGGCUCCAGCCCAGGAUUGCCAGCACAGAUCGCCCAAUCUGUCCCGGAGAGGAAACCGUUUGAGGUCACACCCUGCAUCGUCCAAUCAGUAGAGGAGUAAGAGGCAAAGGAGGGCUCCAUUGUUAUUGUUGGACCAACUGAAUCAGAGGGCCGCAAAGAAACGGACAAAAUAGGAGAUAACUACUUCAAUAAUCGAUCAAGCUAUUCUAUCCCAACCCCUCCCUAGUAUUUUACCCACUUUGAGUCGGAGGACAAGACUUUUGGAGACGAAAUCGUGGGAUGUAAUGUACACAAACUAAAUGCCAAGAAGCCCCCCUGAGUUACUGCAGGACAUGUGGAAUCCUCCGAAGAAAAAGAAGAGAAAGGUAGGACUGAAGUGGAAAGAAAUGCCCAAUUAAAAAUCAGUAUCAGUGCAAUACAACAAACAUGGACAUCACAUUACAACGUUAAACAGUAUUUGCAAAUCAUUCUGAGUGGUUGGUUCAGGUGAAGCGUGUAACAUUAGAGAAAUACAGCAGGAGCAGGAGUUCACUGUUUGAUUGGCUAAGUAAAGAUGUUUCUGAUGAGGUCCAAUCUGAUACUGAGAAGCUACUUUCACACUGUAACGGCCCAUUCACACAGCGGCGUGCGUUGAAGCUUCAACGCUUCUGCUCAUUCAGUUUGAAUGGGGUGACGUCACAUUUCGCCGAACUGCAUUGUGGGAGCGAAGCGUAGAUUUGCUUGCGACGAAAGUUGAGCAAUGUUCAACUUUUGAAGCUUCGGCGGAAGCGUCAGCCAAUCGAAUCAUAUGCCAGUACAAGCUCUAGCCAAUCAAACCGCGUGCUUGUGUGUCCGGGGCGGGAGAUUCAUGGUUGUUGGUCGAGUUUCAGCCCCCCCCCGCCGACAAGCGACAACACACGCCGCUGUGCUGACAGGCCGUAAGCCCCAAUGCUCAAUUUGGGAUUUAUUACUCAGAUCUGAUUUUAUCUUUGGCUGUUAAAAUGUUUAAAUUCUGGCCAAUAAUCAGAUCCCAGUGGGAACUGGUGAUGGUAACAGCAUGCGCAGAAGAGCAAGAAUCAAGAUGCCACAAGCAGCAUUUUCUCACAAGUAAACAUGGAGGCCACUAAAGUCAGUGUCGUGGUAGCUUUAAUAAGUACAUGACAAUAAGGAUGAGGAGAAGGAGAACCAUUUGGUAAGCAGGGAGUUUGUCGGGCAAAUGUCGCUACUUCAGUACGAAGAUGUGUUGGGAUACUGAGUCCGAGUGGUGAUUUGUUUGAGAUUGGGCGACUGCUGCUAGAGAAGAAUUGUGUUUUAGUCAACCUAGAGUGACUUAAAAAUUACUUAAACUCCAAAUUGGUGUUGAAAACAAAGUCUGACUGAUGGAAAAAAAAAAGGUCUGCAGUCCGAACGUAGCAUGACCUGUGGCAAACACUUUGGAUUAUUUGCAAACGCUUCAUCUGGACACAACCAAAAGAAAGUGCAUGCUUUUUAACAGUGACCUAGCCCUUACAGUAUAACACCGUAUACAAAGUAAUAAUAUAUCAAAUUGCUUUUUAUUAUAAAAGAAAAAAAUCCAAUAAACUGAUAUGUAUUUGUAUGAAUGUAAGACUGUAUGUAUGUAUGUAUGAAUGUAGCUUUGUUUGUGUGUUAAAUAUAUAUAUUCUGGGAAACACAUUCUUCUUGGUAUUGUUCUUUUCCACCAUGUGCCAUAAAAGUGCACAGACAUGAUGACCAUCACCAAGAUAACACAUUGCCUAAUUUACUGUAUCUAACAAACCUUAAAAGGUGACAUUUGUAAGAUAUGAUCCAACAUUGUAGCUUUAAACUAUAACAAAAUGAACAUUAUCAGAGAGUGAUACUGUGUUAACAGUUUAUCCAAAUGUCUAUGUUAUUUGUUCCAGAGUUAUCAACUGAAACUAGCAUGCUAGCUAACUUGUAAUAUCACUUGUUCCUUGAGAGGCGAUUGUGAGGCACUGAACCUUUUACUGCCACUUCCGAUUAAGUCCAAUAAAUGUACUAUCAAAAUGUAAAGUAACACAGACCAUACAGCCCUGGGGCGGUGGCAAAGUACACACAUAUAGCUAAUGUAAACUCAAGGUCACCACCACACUUAAAGUUAACAGAAUGGCAUUGUUAUUUCAACAAACUAUCAGCUGUUCAGCCCUUAGGUUACAUCUUUUCCCUGCUGUUUGUAGGCUUUUUUUGGGGUUAAAUACCGCCCUCUAUGUGACUAGGCAUUACAAAUUGCACCAGCGUUAACCUAGACUUCAUUCUGAGCUUCACUGCCAAACCAAUCCUUAACCAUAAAAUCAGCAUCAAUCUGAAGUGAGGGCCAAUUAAAAAAGCCCUCCCACUCAAGGUCACACUUUGGUCCCUCUAAGAUAAAAAUAUAUGAGCGAACCCAGACACAUAUAUAGCAACUUUUGGCAUAUUUCCUUGUGCAUUGAUAAGUGCGGAGGCUUAACUUGCUAUGUUUUAUCCCUUUUCCUAACCUUAGAUUUGACAGCCAAACGUAUUGUAUAUAAUACAUUACACACAGACACACAAUGGAAUGCAAGAAAGGGUUUAACCUAAUUGUCCAGCUGUAUCAUUUUCUAACUGCAGUGUGAAGGUCAGAGUGUUUUUCUCACUGAGCAGCAGCAGUUUCCUUGUAGUCAUCAAUUCCACUAAAACACAAAAAGAAUCCUCAUCCAUUGAACCGAGUCGUGUAGACUGCAUUUCUGGAGGCAGAGAAGUGCCCUUGUACGGUCAAGUGCUAUUAUCCUAUUGAUCUUUUUGAAGGCUUCCUGUGUGUGUUUGGCUGUUGUGGUCGGUGGCUAGCAAUGUGGUUUUUUUUUUUACUGCUAAAUAAAGAAAUGCUGCAUAAUACAGUAGAAGAAGUCCUUAAAAGCAACAUGCUUUACUGACUUCAUUUGAAUGUGUAGAAGCGUGUGGAUGCCAGUGCAAAGACUUGAAAUAAGACAGACUAUAACAAUAUAUGUCAAAAGUCUGCAUGCGUGCUAGAGAUGGUCAGACAGAAUUGCUCAGAACAGUGUAUUUUAUAAAUGUGUGUUUGCCUAAGGAAACAGAACAGAAUCAAGCAUUUACAUCAUCUCUUCUAAAAGAUUCUACCUACAGCUGCUGGAGAGGACGAUUCCCUCGUACACUCCAGUGAUCACAGCCCACGAUGCCCCUGAGCGCUGUGAUAACCAUCUGUCCUCUGUUUGUCCUCUUGUUGCUCUUGUAGAGCAUUUAGUGUCCAAACACACAAGGCACACAUCUGAAGGCCGAGAGAUUUAACACAAAAAGGUGACGCCUGGCAUCAUGGGAAAGGAGGGAAUUUGGAGUGAAACUUCUUUGCUUUUUUGGGAAUAAAAACAAAUGCUGUCACUCA